GACGUAGGGCGCAAGCGUUGUCCGGAUUUAUUGGGCGUAAAGAGCGUGUAGGCGGCUUGGCAAGUCCGCUGUGAAAACUCGAGGCUCAACCUCGAGACGUCGGUUGAAACCAUCUGGCUAGAGUCCGGAAGAGGAGAGUGGAAUUCCCGGUGUAGCGGUGAAAUGCGCAGAUAUCGGGAAGAACACCCGUGGCGAAGGCGGCUCUCUGGGACGGUACUGACGCUGAGACGCGAAAGCGUGGGGAGCGAACAGG
rnacentral:rRNA from 1 species